UACAAAGGGGGGCUAGCGUUGCUCGGAAUGACUGGGCGUAAAGGGCGCGUAGGCGGCUUGCACCGUCAGAUGUGAAAUUCCUGGGCUUAACCUGGGGGCUGCAUUUGAUACGUGUGGGCUUGAGUGCGGAAGAGGGUCGUGGAAUUCCCAGUGUAGAGGUGAAAUUCGUAGAUAUUGGGAAGAACACCGGUGGCGAAGGCGGCGACCUGGUCGGUUCUGACGCUGAGGCGCGAAAGCCGUGGGGGAGCAAACAGG
rnacentral:rRNA from 1 species